AUUUAUCACCAUAAUGAAUUAUUUAAAACAUUAGAUAUUAAUCAAAUAAAAAAAAAUGUAAAAAACCUUAACAGGCGUAUCUACGCAAUAAGAAGUGAUCACGAGGUUGCUGAAAAAAUUAAAAUGUGUUUCGACUGUUACAACACGCUGCUCACUGAAAAUAAACUUUAGAAAGGGCUAGAUAAUGGUCAUUAAAGUUCCCCAGUAAUAUAAAAAGGUGAAUAUUCAACAUAAACUAUUAGUUGAAGAAUCUAAUACUAUGAAGUACAGAACGUAACGCUUUGUGGUUCGCUGCUGUGAUUAGUUCAAUACUUACGGCUCAGUAUAAUUCCAGUUAUAAGGAGAAAUUCAAAGAAUUUAAACGUAUGGUAGGUAUGAGUUUCUGAUUUUUCUAUAUUUAUUUUGUAAUUUUUAUACAUAUAUAAUAUUUAAAGAUUUAGUGACAACUAUCACAUGUGUAAGAAUAUUUCUAUCUCAAAUUACUCAAAUUUUAUUUUGUCGCCUUUUGAUAGAAAUGCAUAAUAAAUAAAGAAAUAAAUAAUCACAUGCAAUAAGGCUUAUUAGAAACGUCGUGAAGUCGCAUUCUUAUCUAAUUUGCAUUGCUAUUAGUUAUAGUGUUUAUUAUAUGUAUUGAGAUUGUUG
rnacentral:misc_RNA from 1 species